rnacentral:rRNA from 1 species
UACGGGAGGCAGCAGUGGGGAAUAUUGCACAAUGGGCGCAAGCCUGAUGCAGCCAUGCCGCGUGUAUGAAGAAGGCCUUCGGGUUGUAAAGUACUUUCAGUCGUGAGGAAGGUGUUAAGGUUAAUAACCUUAGCAAUUGACGUUAGCGACAGAAGAAGCACCGGCUAACUCCGUGCCAGCAGCCGCGGUAAUACGGAGGGUGCGAGCGUUAAUCGGAAUUACUGGGCGUAAAGGGCACGCAGGCGGUUAAUUAAGUUGGAUGUGAAAUCCCCGGGCUUAACCUGGGAAUGGCAUUCAAGACUGGUUAGCUAGAGUCUUGUAGAGGGGGUAGAAUUCCAUGUGUAGCGGUGAAAUGCGUAGAGAUGUGGAGGAAUACCGGUGGCGAAGGCGGCCCCUGGACAAAGACUGACGCUCAUGUGCGAAAGCGUGGGGAGCAAACAGGGACUAGAUACC